GGUCCAAAGAUUAGCCAUUCCUAGGGCUCCUUUGUUAGAAGCACUUUCAAAUCGGUUCAAUCCAAUUUUAGUCAAAUUUCAUCUUUGUCUCUGAAUAUAUUGCCCCACUACAAAUUAGUGUUCUAAAAAAAGUUGUAUGGAUUGUAUAGAUUUAGAGGGAAAAGAUUUUGGCGGCAAGAAUUUCGGCUUCCCUCCUCCAAAUUCUAAACAAUAGAGUUUCCUUUAUUAGUUAUAAUUCUUCAAAAGACCUAAUUUUUGCCUUCCACUAUGCUAUCGCAGUUACUUUGAGAAGGAGAAGAUUUUGGGGCUGAGGCUUUUGAAGGGUUUUAUCUGUUUUCUUCAGGCCGCUAAUUCUCCACAAGAUAGUGCAAGUUCGAAUAUUUACAGGUACCCAGUUUAGGUAAUAGUUUUGUUUAUUUUUUGGGUUGUUCAGAUGUUGUUUUUAAAAGAAUUUGUGCAUGUGAGAUUCGAGUUUUUGCAGGUAACAAAAACAAUGUUCUCGGAGCCUCCUCGCUAACUUCAAUCAGAUCGGAUGGAAGUUAACAAAUGGGUCUUCUUAAAUGGUCCUACGCUCCUACCCCUUAUAAUAGUCUCGGAGCCUCGUUUUAAUUUCUGUUUGAUCAAUUGAAGUAUGAUAUCGAAAAAGUGAAAGUGAAAACAAUUUGAUCAAUUGAAAUAUGAAAUUGAAAAAGUGAAAGUGAAACUGUUCAUUUGAUCUUUUUCUACUAGCGAGUAACUUAAUUUGUUGCUGUUCAUAGAAUUAAUUAUUGAUCAUUGGUGUGAGGUAGCGAACUUAGAAUAAAUUGGAAACUACUUGAUUGCACCCAUGUUUGCACCAUUACAGUGAUACACAUAUCAGUUUUAGCUAACAAUUUUCUUUCUUUUUCGUAAUUGUUUGGAUUUUGUUAAACAGAAUACAAGGAACAUAAAUUUUUAUAGGCAACUUUAACUUGUCAGGGUCUGAGUCUCUGAGACAUAGUUGACUAAUCGACGGAUGAAAGAAAGUUUUUUUGGGUAGAUCUUUAAUUUGUUUUGUCUUUGCCAUAUUUCAAAUAUGAAAUUGUUGUGUUCUGAAAGUUCUCACUAGGUUUGUUCUUUCCUAAUUAUUUAUGCUCCUUAAGUUUGCUUGCAAAUUAUGUUUCUACUUCAACUACUGUAUAGAAAGAAUGGUGCUGUUUGAAAAUGAUUAGAUUAACAUGAUCUCAGUUAAUGGUUCAAUAUAAAAGAGUCCUAAAUUUUGUUCAAUCAAAUAUCACUUUGAUACUAGUUCUUUGGAAGUUUUAUUCACUCAAGAUGUUAAUUUUGGUGUUCUAUAGUUUGAUUUUGCUUAAUCGUAGCACGAAAUCGCAUUUUAGCUCCAUUAAGUCAUAAAGAUUGGAGGCUUGUGCCUGAUAUGGGCUCAUAUUAAGGUGCAUAAAAAAAGAAAAAAAAUUACAUACUAAGAUGCUUAUUGCUUUUAUGCUUUUAUAUAUAUGUGUGUGUGUGUGUGUGUGUGUGUUAUAUGUUUAUGUUUACAGGAAAAUAUUGGUGCAACUGAGGAUAUGAGAUAUAUUUUGAUGAUAUCAGUUGGGACUAUAAAUGGAAAGAAAGGAAGGACGAGGGAAAAAGAACCGGCCAUAAGCCAUACGGCAACGAUAAUAAGCUCUUAGCUAAACAUCCAGACAGGGUAGAAAAGGAUCAAUGGCGUGCAUUAGUUCAUUAUCGGAGCUCUAAUGAAGCAAAGGAAAAGAGCAAGAGGAACAAAUAAAGCCAAACGAAUCUGACUUUGCCACACACAUCAGGAAGAAAAGUCAUUUCCAAAUUAUAGAUACGCAUGCCAUAUUUGCCAUCUGCUUUCUGUAAUUUAUAUAUCAAUAUUAUUUUCUUGAAUAUUUUUUAUACACCUUUUUCCUAUUUAACCAGAUGACAAAGAAGGAUGGUGUAAAACCAAGUCGUAUUGAAGUAUUCACAAGAACACAUAUGAGAAAGAAUGAACAACCAAUAAAUGAGAUAGCUGGUGAAGUAAUGGAAAAGGAGCAGCUCCAAGUUUUGUUUAUGGCUCUGUAUGUAAACAAUCUCAGGCUGAGCAAAGGGAUUUUGAUAAAAGGGUUGAGGUAGAAGUUCAAAAAGCUACCUCUGCUGUAAAAACUUAGAUGGAGGAAAGGUUAAUACAAUCAAGAAGACUGGAUUUAGUGAAGUACGCAUAAAAAAAAUGGUAUGAUUUUUUGUGCAGCAUUUUGAAGGAGAAUUACUGGCAAUGAACCUUGACUAAUGGAGAGGUGGUUUCAAAAAGCUUUGUUGCAGGAUUUAUUCUAGAAGUUAAGAGAAUUCAUUCGAAAGUGAUAAUAACGUAGUUACAUGUUGAAAUUACUGUCUUUUAUGAUUUAGUUGGAUUUGAGUUUUACUUAGAGAACAAAUCAUUUGAUUUGGCAUCAUCUAUUUGUACAAAGUACUUUUUAGAUUGCUAAUUUAUUUUUUAGUUAUAGUAUUAAAAGGCAUUUGUUUUA